rnacentral:rRNA from 1 species
GACGAACGCUGGCGGCGUGCUUAACACAUGCAAGUCGAACGGAAAGGCCCUGCUUGCAGGGUGCUCGAGUGGCGAACGGGUGAGUAACACGUGGGUGAUCUGCCCCUUACUUUGGGAUAAGCCUGGGAAACUGGGUCUAAUACUGGAUAGGACCAUGCUGUAGGUGGUGUGGUGGAAAGAUUAGUUUCGGUAAGGGAUGAGCUCGCGGCCUAUCAGCUUGUUGGUGGGGUAAUGGCCUACCAAGGCGUCGACGGGUAGCCGGCCUGAGAGGGUGGACGGCCAAAUUGGGAUGGGGAAACGGCCCAGACUCCUCGGGGGGGCAGCAGGGGGGAAUAUGGCACAAUGGGGGAAAGCCUGAUGCAGCGACGCCGGGUGGGGGAUGAGGGCCUUGGGGUUGUAAACUCCUUUAAGCCAUGACAAAGCCCUUGGGGGGAAGGUAGGGGUAGAAGAAGCACCGGCUAACUACG